UAACAAGCCAGCCUCAACUGCUUGAGCUAAGAGCAAGCUCAGUGUUUCCUUCAAGCAGCAUCGUGGACAGAUUCCUGCCAGACCCUUCAGAGCAAGCACCCCACACCCCUAGCCCAGGGUCUCUUCAUCGAUAGGGGGUGAUCUGUCUGCCCCUCACUGUUUUCUCCAAAUAGCAUCUCCAAAUGGACUAGACUCGACAAGCAAACAGUCUGCAGUGGACCCCUUGGGUCAUCCAUUCUGAUGGAAACAGAAAUAGAAUUCCAGCCCGGUGGAGUGGAGAAGGCUCCAGGAGGGCGUCGGGCCCAACCACCUUGCGUUAUGGAGCACAGAGAGGGAUUCUGCUGUGGUCACAUAGCACCUAAGUGGUUGCAGCAGCCUCAGAACAGGCUGUCCUGCCUGAGUCGUUCCUCGUGAUCACUGCUGGCGUUUCUCCUGCUGGCCUUCAUGGCAAGGCUGAUGGCCAGGGCACACAGGAGCAACGGCACUGCUGGUCUAGCAAGUACCACUCUCUGGCCUGCUCCACAGCCCGGCCACAGCAAGGGAGCCUUCUCCACAGCCCAGCCACAGUGAGGGAGUCAUCAGCACUGGAACCCGGGGUCCACGGCCUUGGAGGAUCCGGACCCUCCGCAUUUGAGGAACUUGGCCUUCAGUCAGGGAGCCAAGAAGUCCCUGCCAAUCAAGGAGGGGGUGUGGGCUGGUGGGGGGGGGGCAGCCUUGGGGCACGGGAGCUGAUAGACCAGACUCAAGAGUUCUACUCCUGACUUCUAGAUUGUUCCACCUCCAUAUGGAAUAUGUUCCUUCCAUCUAACACUGUGUGAUUUGGGGACCAUCCAACUCAAAUGAAAGAAGCCAAGCCAUGCAGCGAGCCACCCCCUCCCCAAUGUGGGGUACCCCCUGCCCCCGCCCAGCUCCCCUGCCCUCCCAGCUGAGGGGGGAUCGCCGCCUGGUGAUCUCAGCCUCCCCUCCAAGUGGGCUGUGAAGUGUCUAAUCCAGGCUUUCAUCUGGCAUCCACAAUUAUAAUGUCAAGAUUGAAUAAUCUGCCUUUAUCUCCCGGGUGACAGCCAUGUAGAAACUUCAAAAGAAACAGUUUUGCUGGCAUCUAACGGCUUUUGUUAAUUACUAUAUCCCAAAGAAAAUGAAAUAAAGGAGGGAGAAAAAUGAUAUUUCUCUGUGACAACUUUGUAAAAAUAUCAGUGAUGAAGUGGUGCGGUUUAAGGGCUUUAAGUAUUCAUGCGGCUGAGAUGGGGCCUCUACCCUCCCGCUGGGAAGCUUAAGCGUGCCCGAGGGUGCAUGCACACACACACUCACACACUC
rnacentral:lncRNA from 10 species